rnacentral:rRNA from 1 species
GAUGAACGCUGACAGAAUGCUUAACACAUGCAAGUCAACUUGAAUUUGGGUUUUUAACUUAGAUUUGGGUGGCGGACGGGUGAGUAACGCGUAAAGAACUUGCCUCACAGCUAGGGACAACAUUUAGAAAUGAAUGCUGAUACCUGAUAUUAUGAUUUUAAGGCAUCUUAGAAUUAUGAAAGCUAUAAGCACUGUGAGAGAGCUUUGCGUCCCAUUAGCUAGUUGGAGAGGUAACAGCUCACCAAGGCGAUGAUGGGUAGCCGGCCUGAGAGGGUGAACGGCCACAAGGGGACUGAGACACGGCCCUUACUCCUACGGGAGGCAGCAGUGGGGAAUAUUGGACAAUGGACCAAGAGUCUGAUCCAGCAAUUCUGUGUGCACGAUGAAGUUUUUCGGAAUGUAAAGUGCUUUCAGUUGGGAAGAAAGAAAUGACGGUACCAACAGAAGAAGUGACGGCUAAAUACGUGCCAGCAGCCGCGGUAAUACGUAUGUCACGAGCGUUAUCCGGAUUUAUUGGGCGUAAAGCGCGUCUAGGUGGUUAUGUAAGUCUGAUGUGAAAAUGCAGGGCUCAACUCUGUAUUGCGUUGGAAACUGUAUAACUAGAGUACUGGAGAGGUAAGCGGAACUACAAGUGUAGAGGUGAAAUUCGUAGAUAUUUGUAGGAAUGCCGAUGGGGAAGCCAGCUUACUGGACAGAUACUGACGCUGAAGCGCGAAAGCGUGGGUAGCAAACAGG